AUGGCCGCCGCGGAGCUCACCAUCGCCGAGCUGCAGCAGCUCGUCCAGGCAACGAUUGUGCAGAGCAAGGCGGUGUCGGAGGCGGGCGCGAAGACGGCGGAACGUCUGGAUGGGCUGCAGGAGUCCCUCGACAAGUACGCUUCCUCCUCGGCCAAGGCCUUCGAUGCGCUGGCCACGACGACCACGAGCUCGCUGGCCCGCACCGAGUCGACGCUGGGGCGGGUGCUCGUCGCGCACAACUCCCUCGAUGCGGCUGUGGCCGAGAUGCGAAAGUCGCUGGACGGAAUCGUACACCGCGUCGACAAUUUGGAGCAGCCGACAGGCACGACAAUAGAUCAAGGCCUGCGGACAGAGCCGCCACAAACAGAGCGACAGAGCUCUGAUCAGCACCAUUCAGGACAGGACACUCGAGGUCUGCGCAUGUCAUUCCAGCAGAGGAAUCGAGGUGAGCAGUCUAGAUCGCACGCUCGUUUCCCUAACGAGUUAUCUGAUGACAAUGACGAUUAUGAGAGAUCACCGCAGUCGCAGUUUCACUCUGCCCCUGGGAAAUUCUCCGCACGCAUUCCUCGCUCUGAUUUCCCCAGAUUUGAGGGAGAUAACCCCAAGUGGUGGAAAAAACAGUGUGAAAAAUACUUCCGGAUGAACAAGUAUUCUCGAGCAAUUGAUGUGUUCUUCUCUCUCAAGCAAACCGAGUCUGUCGAUGAUUAUGCUCAUGCAUUUGAAGAGCACAUGCACAAGAUGCUGGUGUAUAACCACUCCUACGAUGAAACCUUUUUCAUCAACAGGUUCAUUGAGGGCCUGAAACCUGCUAUCCGGGCGCCGAUCAAGCUGCAACAACCUAAUUCAGUGGAUCUAGCUUACUCCUUGGCACAGACACAAGAAGCAUUGUUGGCUGAAGAUACCUCCAAAUACAGCAAAAGAUGGGAAAACAUAGCCAAUGCCAAAAAUUAUGUGCAUCAGGGCAUUAUGGGAACAACACCAGCACAAGAUAAACCCCCGGAAACACAUCAAAGAGCUCCAGAUCGAGUGGAUAACCUCAGGGCACAACGCCGAGCGCGUGGAGAAUGUUUCAAGUGUGGGGAGAAAUACGGUCCAGGACACAAGUGCCCCACAACAGUCCAACUUCACGUACUGGAAGAACUGAUCGAGGCUCUACAGAUGUCUGAAAUUUCUGAAAGUGAAUCUGAAACUGAACAGCCAGCCGAACAGCCUAUGACGGAUAAAGCAACAGCAGAAGAAGCAUUCAUGAAACUGUCAGUCCAUGCAGCCCAGGGCACUGCUUCAAAGGAUAGUAUCCGAUUACAGGGCAUGGUUGGAAACACCUUCAAUACAUCUCUAAAAGUGCUACCCCUGGGCACUUAUGACAUCAUCUUGGGCAUGCAGUGGCUAGAAACUAUGAGCCCUAUGUGGGUGGACUGGAGAAAGAAGGUCAUGAGAUUCAAAUAUCAAGGAGUUAGGAUCACUCUAAGAGGAAUAAGAGAGAAAGUCAUUUCCUGCACAGGCAUAACUAGCAAGCAUUUGCAAGGGUUACUUAACACUGGUGCAGUGGAGCAAGUGAUUCAACUAAAUCAUAUUGUGGAAGCCCCUGAUACUGAUCAAUUCAUCCCUCCUGCAGUACAAGAAAUUUUGGCCAAGCACAAACAAGUCUUCACAGAACCUGACAAGCUCCCUCCCCACAGGUCCUUUGAUCACCAAAUCCCUCUUCUACCUGGAACUAAACCUAUCAAUGUGAAACCAUACAGAUACAAUCCAAUGCAGAAGACUGAAAUUGAACAACAAAGUACUCUGUCCUCUGAUCUGUCUGGAUGGUUGGCUGAAAGGAACCUGAUGCAAGGAUUGAUCCGAGAACACCUGUUGCGAGCUCAACACAGGAUGAAACAUCAGGAAGACACUAAUCGAUCGGAUCGACAGUUUCAAGUUGGCGAUUGGGCAUUUCUGAAGCUGCAGCCUUACGUGCAACAAACGGUUGUCAGACUAUCCAACUACAAGUUGGGUUUCAAGUAUUUUGGUCCGUACCAGAUCACUGAACGUAUCGGCGAGGUUGCAUAUCGUUUGGCCCUGCCAGAGACUAGCAAGAUUCACCCGGUGGUGCAUGUUUCUCUGCUCAAAUCGGCAGACCCGCCAACUCCUACUUCAGACACUGUGGAUUCACUAUUUCUGUUGGGGGGUAAACUGUCCAAACCGGCUCAACUCCUUCAAACAAGACUGCUGCGACUGCAACGACAACGGCAUGAUGAUGAACAGUCGAGGACGAGCUGUUCCUUAAGAGGAGGGGAGUGCAACGACCUGGGACAGGCCCAUCUGUGUGUUACUGGACCCUUGUGGCCCAGCCCGUGUGGCGUGUGUGGGAAUAGGCAUAUAAGCCUGCAGCUUUCCUCCCUGCUCCUUUCCCCUUCUCCAAGUCCUCUCUCUCUGAGAUAUUCUCCUUGGUUCGAGAUCCACAUCCCGGCGAGACGCAGGGAGCUUGAGGUAUGGCUGCCGACCACUUUGCCGAUGGUAAAUGCUUGUGUCCGGUGCGCCGGCGAAACGUUGCCGGACGCCACCCGCGCACACACUCGUGUCGUACAUAAAGAAGCCAGAAAAUACGGCACGCACGUUGUGGCCCCUACACAGCUAGCCCACCAAUUCUCUGCCAUCGAUUUUUGUUGCUACGCCCGGCCAACCUCCUCCCUCGUCGUGGCUAGCGAGCCAUCUCCGAUCCCAACUCCGCCCAUCCCCGUGACGCAUAGUGAGUGCGCCGCGCCGUUGCCGGCCUCUCCCGCAGUGCCGCGGACCCCUCGGGGCGGCUGGAGGUGCUGGGAGCGCUGGGGCGCCCGUGCUAUGACGCGCAUCGGGAGUUGCUGGACCUCCGAUGGCCAUGCUGCGACAUGCCGCAAGGUCGACCAAAGCUGCAGCGGGGCUGCGUCAGGAUGCUGGAACCAGCAAGAUCCGGUGCUGCUACCGGCUGCGUCGCGUGCUGGAACCGGAGCCCCCCGGUCCUACUGUUGUUUGCAUCUUGGGGAAUGCAAGCUGCGAUUUUUUGCUGGAACCAUCAUUCAUCUUUUGCUAGAACCUGUAAAUGUUUUUGCUUCAACCAUUUUACCAAAGGUUUUUGGUGCUUUCAGAGUUUUGAUGGAACCACCAAUUUUUUUGCUGGACAUGGCAGUUCAGGUCGAUGGCGGCAAGCCGGAGACGGGGACGCCGGGGAAGUUGCAAGCAUGGCGGCCACACGCUGGGACCUGCCUAUAUUGGAGCUGUAGCCAUGGCGAGCGGAGGCAACCAAGGCGAGCGUGGUGGCACGUGUGGCCGGGGAGCGAGGGUGGCGGCCGUGGUGACCGGCAAGAACGGAAAGCCGAGGGCAAGUGCGGGCAGCCGGCCAGCGCGUGUGCAGUCUGGCAUGUGUGCAGCACCUUUUUCCCAUUUUUCUAUCUGAUGGUUGACUUUUUUGAAGCCAACUCUUUUAUCGUAUGCGCUGCACUCAAAACACCGCCACAGCCACCAAGAACUCCUGCUAGGAUGGUUGGGCAAGUGGCAGCCAACGGGUGGCGGGCGAUGGACAUCGACCCGGACUUAGAUGCAGCAGUGCUGCAGCAGUUCCUCCAGAUUUGGCCGAGGGUCGCGGCGUGGGAGCCAUUGUCCGGCGAGCAGGAUGAGUUCAGUUGGACUUGGGAUGCAAGUGGGCAGUUCUCGGUGCGCUCGGCGUAUGCAGCCAGGUUUUGGGGUCGGGAGGUGAUUCAAUCAGCAGCCCAAAUUCCAGACCCAACGGCCCAGUCUGAGUUUCCAAGUUCCUCCAAUGAAAGGAGAGAGUCUCGCUCUCAGGGCACUUGA
rnacentral:rRNA from 1 species